GAUGAAGAACGUAGCGAAAUGCGAUAAGUAGUGUGAAUUGCAGAAUUCAGUGAAUCAUCGAAUCUUUGAACGCACAUUGCGCCCCUUGGUAUCCCGAGGGGCAUGCCUGUUCGAGCGUCAUUUCACCACUCGAGCCUGGCUUGGUGUUGGGCGACGUCCCCUUUAGGGACGCGCCUCGAAACGCUCGGCGGCGCGGCACCGGCUUUAAGCGUAGCAGAAUCUUUCGCUUUGGAAGUCGGGGCCCCGCCUGCCGGAAUACCUACUUGUAAGGUCGACCUCGGAUCAGGCAGGGAUACCCGCUGAACUUAAGCAUAUCAAUAAGCGGAGGA
rnacentral:misc_RNA from 1 species